rnacentral:rRNA from 1 species
UGCCAGACUCCUACGGGAGGCAGCAGUGGGGGAUAUUGCACAAUGGGGGAAACCCUGAUGCAGCGACGCCGCGUGAGUGAAGAAGUAUUUCGGUAUGUAAAGCUCUAUCAGCAGGGAAGAAAAUGACGGUACCUGAUUAAGAAGCCCCGGCUAACUACGUGCCAGCAGCCGCGGUAAUACGUAUGGAGCAAGCGUUAUCCGGAUUUACUGGGUGUAAAGGGAGCGCAGGCGGCGCGCCAAGUCUGGUGUGAAACCCCGGGGUUCAACCCCGGGACUGCAUUGGAAACUGGCGGGCUGGAGUGUCGGAGGGGCAGGCGGAAUUCCUGGUGUAGCGGUGAAAUGCGUAGAUAUAAGGAGGAACACCGGUGGCGAAGGCGGCCUGCUGGACGACAACUGACGCUGAGGCUCGAAAGCGUGGGGAGCAAACAGGAUUAGAUACCCUCGUAGAA